rnacentral:rRNA from 1 species
GUGAGGAAUAUUGCGCAAUGGAGGCAACUCUGACGCAGCCAUGCCGCGUGCAGGAAGAAGGCGCUACGCGUUGUAAACUGCUUUUAACCGGGAAGAAACCCCAGGACGUGUCCUGGGUUGACGGUACCGGAGGAAUAAGCACCGGCUAACUUCGUGCCAGCAGCCGCGGUACUACGAAGGGUGCAAGCGUUAUCCGGAUUCAUUGGGUUUAAAGGGUGCGUAGGCGGAUCGUUAAGUCAGUGGUGAAGUCCUGCAGCGUAACUGUAGACUUGCCAUUGAUACUGGCGCUCUUGAGUGCGCUUGAAGUGGGCGGAAUGUGCCGUGUAGCGGUGAAAUGCUUAGAUAUGGCACAGAACACCAAUUGCGAAGGCAGCUCACUAAGGCGAUACUGACGCUGAGGCACGAAAGCGUGGGGAUCGAACAGGAUUAGAAACCCGAGUAGUCC